GUGCCAGCAGCCGCGGUAAUACGGAGGAUCCAAGCGUUAUCCGGAAUCAUUGGGUUUAAAGGGUCCGUAGGUGGAUAAUUAAGUCAGAGGUGAAAUCCUGCAGCUCAACUGUAGAAUUGCCUUUGAUACUGGUUAUCUUGAAUUAUUGUGAAGUGGUUAGAAUAUGUAGUGUAGCGGUGAAAUGCAUAGAUAUUACAUAGAAUACCAAUUGCGAAGGCAGAUCACUAACAAUAUAUUGACACUGAUGGACGAAAGCGUGGGGAGCGAACAGGAUUAGAUACCCUGGUAGU
rnacentral:rRNA from 1 species